rnacentral:rRNA from 1 species
GCACGCUGGCGGCAGGCCUAACACAUGCAAGUCGAACGGUAACAGGAAACAGCUUGCUGUUUCGCUGACGAGUGGCGGACGGGUGAGUAAUGUCUGGGAAACUGCCUGAUGGAGGGGGAUAACUACUGGAAACGGUAGCUAAUACCGCAUAACGUCGCAAGACCAAAGAGGGGGGACCUUCGGGCCUCUUGCCAUCGGAUGUGCCCAGAUGGGAUUAGCUAGUAGGUGGGGUAACGGCUCACCUAGGCGACGAUCCCUAGCUGGUCUGAGAGGAUGACCAGCCCACACUGGAACUGAGACACGGUCCAGACUCCUACGGGAGGCAGCAGUGGGGAAUAUUGCACAAUGGGCGCAAGCCUGAUGCAGCCAUGCCGCGUGUAUGAAAGAAGGCCUUCGGGUUGUAAAGUACUUUCAGCGGGGAGGAAGGGAAGUAAAGUUAAUACCUUUGCUCAUUGACGUUACCCGCAGAAGAAGCACCGGCUUAACUCCGUGCCAGCCAGCCGCGGUAAUACGGAGGGUGCAAGCGUUAAUCGGAAUUACUGGGCGUAAAGCGCACGCAGGCGGUUUGUUAAGUCAGAUGUGAAAUCCCGGGCUUCAACCUGGGAACUGCAUCUGAUACUGGCAAGCUUGAGUCUCGUAGAGGGGGGUAGAAUUCCAGGUGUAGCGGUGAAAUGCGUAGAGAUCUGGAGGAAUACCGGUGGCGAAGGCGGCCCCCUGGACGAAGACUGACGCUCAGGUGCGAAAGCGUGGGGAGCAAACAGGAUUAGAUACCCUGGUAGUCCACGCCGUAAACGAUGUCGACUUGGAGGUUGUGCCCUUGAGGCGUGGCUUCCGGAGCUAACGCGUUAAGUCGACCGCCUGGGGAGUACGGCCGCAAGGUUAAAACUCAAAUGAAUUGACGGGGGCCCGCACAAGCGGUGGAGCAUGUGGUUUUAAUUCGAUGCAACGCGAAGAACCUUACCUGGUCUUGACAUCCACAGAACUUUCCAGAGAUGGAUUGGUGCCUUCGGGAACUGUGAGACAGGUGCUGCAUGGCUGUCGUCAGCUCGUGUUGUGAAAUGUUGGGUUAAGUCCCGCAACGAGCGCAACCCUUAUCCUUUGUUGCCAGCGGUCCGGCCGGGAACUCAAAGGAGACUGCCAGUGAUAAACUGGAGGAAGGUGGGGAUGACGUCAAGUCAUCAUGGCCCCUUACGACCAGGGCUACACACGUGCUACAAUGGCGCAUACAAAGAGAAGCGACCUCGCGAGAGCAAGCGGACUCAAUAAAGUGCGUCGUAGUCCGGAUUGGAGUCUGCAACUCGACUCCAUGAAGUCGGAAUCGCUAGUAAUCGUGGAUCAGAAUGCCACGGUGAAUACGUUCCCGGGCCUUGUACACACCGCCCGUCACACCCAUGGGAGUGGGUUGCAAAAGAAGUAGGUAGCUUAACCUUCGGGAGGGCGCUUACCACUUUGUGAUUCAUGACUGGGGUGAAGUCGUAACAAGGUAACCGUAGGGGAACCUGCGGUUGGAUCACCUCCUUA